rnacentral:rRNA from 1 species
GACGAACGCUGGCGGCGUGCCUAAUACAUGCAAGUUGAGCGCUGAAGGUUGGUACUUGUACCAACUGGAUGAGCAGCGAACGGGUGAGUAACGCGUGGGGAAUCUGCCUUUGAGUGGGGGACAACAUUUGGAAACGAAUGCUAAUACCGCAUAAAAACUUUAUACACAAGUUGUAAGUUUGAAAGAUGCAAUUGCAUCACUCAAAGAUGAUCCCGCGUUGUAUUAGCUAGUUGGUGAGGUAAAGGCUCACCAAGGCGAUGAUACAUAGCCGACCUGAGAGGGUGAUCGGCCACAUUGGGACUGAGACACGGCCCAAACUCCUACGGGAGGCAGCAGUAGGGAAUCUUCGGCAAUGGACGAAAGUCUGACCGAGCAACGCCGCAUGAGUGAAGAAGGUUUUCGGAUCGUAAAACUCUGUUGGUAGAGAAGAACGUUGGUGAGAGUGGAAAGCUCAUCAAGUGACGGUAACUACCCAGAAAGGGACGGCUAACUACGUG